UACGUAGGGUGCAAGCGUUGUCCGGAAUUACUGGGCGUAAAGAGUGUGUAGGCGGUGCUCCCAGUCUGUUGUGAAAUCUCCCGGCUUAACUGGGAGGGUGCAGCGGAAACUAGAGUGCUAGAGGGUGGGAGAGGUAAGCGGAAUUCCUGGUGUAGCGGUGAAAUGCGUAGAUAUCAGGAGGAACACCUGUGGUGUAGACAGCUUACUGGACCACUUCUGACGCUGAGACACGAAAGCGUGGGUAGCAAACAGG
rnacentral:rRNA from 1 species